GAUGAACGCUGGCGGCGUGCCUAAUACAUGCAAGUCGAGCGAACAGAUGAGGAGCUUGCUCCUCUGACGUUAGCGGCGGACGGGUGAGUAACACGUGGAUAACCUACCUAUAAGACUGGGAUAACUUCGGGAAACCGGAGCUAAUACCGGAUAAUAUAUUGAACCGCAUGGUUCAAUAGUGAAAGACGGUUUUGCUGUCACUUAUAGAUGGAUCCGCGCCGCAUUAGCUAGUUGGUAAGGUAACGGCUUACCAAGGCAACGAUGCGUAGCCGACCUGAGAGGGUGAUCGGCCACACUGGAACUGAGACACGGUCCAGACUCCUACGGGAGGCAGCAGUAGGGAAUCUUCCGCAAUGGGCGAAAGCCUGACGGAGCAACGCCGCGUGAGUGAUGAAGGUCUUCGGAUCGUAAAACUCUGUUAUUAGGGAAGAACAAAUGUGUAAGUAACUAUGCACGUCUUGACGGUACCUUAUCAGAAAGCCACGGCUAACUACGUG
rnacentral:rRNA from 1 species